CUAUUAUAUAGCAGAUACAUCAUAUUAUUUUUAUCCAAUCAAAUCAUAUAAUAUUAAAAAAAAUAUAUAAUAAAAAUAUUUUUUAAUUAUUAUGACGGAAUGAGUAAAUUUUAGAAGAGUAAUUUGAUUGACCGAAGAUACCAUAUUAUUUAUAUGACUGUUAUAUUUUAGAUUUUUUUCUCUCUUAGGCUUCGGUUCACAUGCACUACUAUUGAAUCAAAAGUUCUCCUAUCCGAAAGCUGGAAAUGCACUUCCAUAUGUUUAUAAUUAAGAAGUAAAGUUCAAAUUUGAAAUUUUUGCUUCUGAUCAUU
rnacentral:lncRNA from 1 species